GAUGAACGCUGGCGGCGUGCCUAACACAUGCAAGUCGAACGGAUGGCUUCGGCCAUUAGUGGCAAACGGGUGCGUAACACGUAGGUAAUCUACCCAGGAGACGGGGACAACGGAUGGAAACGUCCGCUAAUACCCGAUGACGUCGAGAGACGAAAGGCGAAAGCCACUCGUGGAGGAGCCUGCGGCCUAUCAGGUAGUUGGUGGGGUAAGAGCCUACCAAGCCGACGACGGGUAGGGGGUGUGAGAGCACGACCAGUCACACGGGCACUGAGACACGGGCCCGACUCCUACGGGAGGCAGCAGUAAGGAAUAUUGGUCAAUGGACGAAAGUCUGAACCAGCCAUGCCGCGUGAAGGAUGAAGGUCCUCUGGAUUGUAAACUUCUUUUAUCUGGGACGAAAAAGGGAAUUCCUUCCCACUUGACGGUACCCUAGGAAUAAGCACCGGCUAACUCCGUG
rnacentral:rRNA from 1 species